UGAUAACUCAGUGGGUAAAGAUGCUGGC
rnacentral:piRNA from 1 species